AUGAUCUCUACAUCCCUACUGCUGCUGCUGCUGGCAGCCGUACACUGUGUUCACAGUGUUGAGCUGAUCCAGACCGGAUCCACAGUAUUAACUCCUGGUCAGUCACUGACUCUGACCUGUAAAGUGUCUGGAUAUUCAUUAACUGAUAGCAGCUACUGGACACACUGGAUAAGACAACCUACAGGAAAAACUCUGGAAUGGAUCGGAGAGAUAUGUGGUGAUGGUAACACUUACUACAGUGAGAAACUGAAAAGCAGGUUUCAGGUUUCCAGAGAGUUUUCAUUUUUCAUGUCGAGCACCACAGUGACAUUGACAGGACAGAACAUGCAGACUGAAGACACAGCUGUGUAUUACUGCGCUCGUGAACCACACAUGAUCCACAGUGAUGGACUAAAAAGACAUGAGAUCUAA